CAAUAGCGUAUAUUAAAGUUGUUGCGGUUAAAAAGCUCGUAGUUGGAUUUCUGCUGAGAACGACCGGUCCGCCCUCUGGGUGUGUAUCUGGCUCUUUCUUGGCAUCUUCUUGGUGAACGUUGCUGCACUUGACUGUGUGGAGCGCUACCCAGGACUUUUACUUUGAGGAAAUUAGAGUGUUUCAAGCAGGCAUACGCCUUGAAUACAUUAGCAUGGAAUAAUAAGAUAGGACCUCGGUUCUAUUUUGUUGGUUUCUAGAGCUGAGGUAAUGAUUAAUAGGGAUAGUUGGGGGCAUUCGUAUUUAACUGUCAGAGGUGAAAUUCUUGGAUUUGUUAAAGACGAACUACUGCGAAAGCAUUUGCCAAGGAUGUUUUCGUUGA
rnacentral:rRNA from 1 species